AGCGCCCUUGGAUCGGUGUGCGUCCGAUUAGCUAGUUGGCGGGGUAACGGCCCACCAAGGCGUCGAUCGGUAGGGGGUGUGAGAGCAUGGCCCCCCACACGGGUACUGAGACACGGACCCGACUCCUACGGGAGGCAGCAGUAAGGAAUAUUGGACAAUGGGCGGAAGCCUGAUCCAGCCAUGCCGCGUGAAGGACGAAGGCGCUCAGCGUUGUAAACUUCUUUUGGACGGGGACAAUAACCGAGACUUGUCUCGGCUUGAGGGUACCAUCAGAAUAAGCACCGGCUAACUCCGUGCCAGCAGCCGCGGUAAUACGGAGGGUGCAAGCGUUAUCCGGAAUCACUGGGUUUAAAGGGUGCGUAGGCGGCCCGAUAAGUCAGUCGUGAAAUCGCUGGGCUCAACCCAUGCAAUUGCGAUUGAUACUGUCGGGCUUGAAUGGGGUUGAGGCUGGCGGAAUGCGGCAUGUAGCGGUGAAAUGCUUAGAUAUGCCGCAGAACACCGAUUGCGAAGGCAGCCAGCUGGGCCCGUAUUGACGCUGAGGCACGAAAGCGUGGGGAGCAAACAGGAUUAGAU
rnacentral:rRNA from 1 species